rnacentral:rRNA from 1 species
GAUGAACGCUGGCUACAGGCUUAACACAUGCAAGUCGAGGGGAAACGACGGGGAAGCUUGCUUCCCCGGGCGUCGACCGGCGCACGGGUGAGUAACGCGUAUCCAACCUGCCUCUGACUGAGGGAUAACCCGUCGAAAGUCGGCCUAAUACCUCAUGGCAUCGUCUGCGGGCAUCCAACGACGAUUAAAGAUUUCAUCGGUCAGAGAUGGGGAUGCGUCUGAUUAGCUUGUUGGCGGGGUAACGGCCCACCAAGGCUACGAUCAGUAGGGGUUCUGAGAGGAAGGUCCCCCACAUUGGAACUGAGACACGGUCCAAACUCCUACGGGAGGCAGCAGUGAGGAAUAUUGGUCAAUGGGCGAGAGCCUGAACCAGCCAAGUAGCGUGCAGGAAGACGGCCCUAUGGGUUGUAAACUGCUUUUAUGCGGGGAUAAAGUGAGGGACGUGUCCUUCAUUGCAGGUACC